rnacentral:lncRNA from 1 species
UUUUUUUUUUUUUUUUUUGGUUUUUCGAGACAGGGUUUCUCUGUGUAGCCCUGGCUGUCCUGGAACUCACUCUGUAGACCAGGCUGGCCUCGAACUCAGAAAUCCGCCUGCUUCUGCCUCCCAAGUGCUGGGAUUAAAGGUGUGCGCCACCACUGCCUGGCCUAUGCUAGGUUCUUAAAUGUAUUUUCACAAUCUGUUACUUUUAAAAAAAAUUUUUUUUUGAGACUUUCUGUGUAGCCCUGGCUGUCUUAGAGCUCACUCUGUAGACCAGGUUGGCCUCAAAUUCAAGAGCUCCACCUGCCCCUGGCUCCUGAGUACUGGGAUUAAAGGCGUGGGCCACUGCCAUCAAGCUGAUAUCUUAGUCAUCCCCAACUCUUCUCAGACCACCUCACCUCUAAUUCCCCUACUCCCACUUUUGAACUAUCCCACUAAGCCUAGAUAGAUUGUACUGGCUGUGUGCUCCAGAGUGUGAAGGCCGUAUGACUUCUGUGUCUUGAAACUGUAGCCUCAGAAAGUACUUUAAAUGCAUUUUUGUUUGUUUGUUUUGUUUUCAACACAGGGUUUUCUCUGUGUAGCCCUGGCUGUCUUGUAACUGCCUUGAACUCAGAGAUCCACCUGCCUCUGCCUCCCCAGUGAUAGGAUUAAAGACAUGUUACACAACUGCCCAGCUACAUUUUAAAAUGCUUGUUUGUGUGUGUGCAGGUACCUGUGUAUCAUAGCAUGCAUGUGGAGGUCAGAGGACAACUUGUUGCAGUUAGUUUUUUCUAGUUUGUGGGUUCUGAGGAUCAAACUCAUGUUGUCAAAUUUGCAGCAAGAUCCAUUACUUGCUGAGGCAUAUUACUUACUGGUCCAGAGAUUAUUUAGAUUAAGCUAGCUAGGCUCUAACAAUUAAUCAUCUCCGAGAUAAGUAGGGGAAAAAAUUGGGAAGGUAGGAUGGAGAAACUAGUCUUUUUUCUUUAAUCUAUAUUAUUUAAACUAUUCAACCAAUUACUAAGUUGUCAGGGCCUUAUUUAUUAUAGGCUAGUAAACUAACUAAUGAAGAAAGACUUUUUUUAGUCAUUUGUUACCAUUGGCUCUCAAAGAAUUUCUUUUUCUAUCUAAUUAUGUAUCCCAGGAGCUGUCAAGAUGGCUCAGCAGUUAAGAAUGCAAAUUGCUUUUGUAGAGUUUGGUUCACAGCACCCAUAUUGGGCAGUCCCUAGUUGCCUGUAAUUCUGGUUAUGCAGGGGGAUCUGAUACCUCUGACCUCCAAGGUCACCUGCACCAAUGUGUGCAUAUCCCUAUACAGUAUAUACAUUUAAUAAAUAAAGAUAACAAUAAAAAACUUUUAAAAAUCCUAUUAUAUUUAUUUGUUUUGUUUUGAGACAGUUUCUCUGUGUAGCCCUGGCUGUCCUGGGACUCACUCUGUAGACCAGGCUGGCCUCAAACUCAGAAAUCCGCCUGCCUCUGCCUCCCAAAUGCUGGGAUUAAAGGUGUACAUUACAACUUUGGCUCUACAUAUACAAUUUUAUUGUUAAAAAUGUAAUAUUUUAUUAAAUAUGUUUUGGCACCCUUAAUUGGUUUCUUUUUUUAAAAGAAACUGUUCAUACUUACUUAUACACACACAUCCCAUGCCAUGCCAUGCAUGCUGAGGUCAGAGGACAGUUGGUAGCAGGACAAGCACAGGCUAUUUCUUUUGUUAAUAGACACUCUUAACCUACCAUGCCAUCUUGCUGUACCACAUACUCAUACUCAUCGAGUAUGAUGUGUAUCCAUACCAUCCUGCAUAUGGAGGUUAGACGACAACUUGUUAGGUUAUAUGGGUUUGAGGGGAGUAUUUCCCAGAUGAGCCAUCUUGUGUCCAUUUCUCCCCCAACUCUUCAUUUUGAGACAGGGUCUCACUAGCUGACCUGAAACUCACUAUGUAGCGUGAGCCUUGAACUCAGAAAGCUCUGCCUGCCUUUGCUUCUCAAGGGCUGUGCUUCUUAAAAGCUUUUCUAGGGAUUUGGCUUUGGACAGGAUGCAAAAAGUGAGGUCAAAGGGUAAAGGUAACUGUUACUAGGAUGGGUUCUUGUUCCCAAACGCACAUCAUCAAUUUCAGG